ACGGAGGAUGCAAGCGUUAUCCGGAUUUAUUAGGUUUAAAGGGUGUGUAGGCGGAUGUAUAAGUCAGUGGUGAAAGUCAGCAGCUUAACUGUAGAAUUGCCAUUGAUACUGUAUGUCUUGAGUGUGGUUGAGGUAUGCGGAAUGUGUAAUGUAGCGGUGAAAUGCAUAGAUAUUACACAGAACACCGAUUGCGAAGGCAGCAUGCUAAGCCACAACUGACGCUGAUGCACGAAAGCGUGGGGAUCAAACAG
rnacentral:rRNA from 1 species